AGGUUCCGGGGUGUCACACGUGGGAUUGCAAAUCCCAAGAAGCAGAGGAAAUUCUGCCGGGGCUUC
rnacentral:tRNA from 1 species